rnacentral:lncRNA from 1 species
GUGGAGAGAAGUCACUGCGCGCAGCCCCAUCCCCUGCAUCCACAGUUGCAGUCAGGCCCCAGCAUGUGGACGGGAGCACUAGGAUGGGCGUGAGGCUGCGAGUGAGCGAGUGAGGCUGGGAGUCCAUUUGGGACUGACUGCCACUGUGUGCACUGCACUGUCAGGGCAGAGGCUCUCGGCAAAGCCUCAGGAGCAGGAGUAUUGAGGACCCCGAGGUUCAGAAGACUCCUCAGAAUGGAGGAGGUCUUGAGCCCAUACCACUGACCCGUUCUAUUUUGUCUCUAGCCCACACCCCCACCACCCCCAGUUCUUCCAACCAAACAGCAGGACCUGUGCCAACCACUCCUAGAUGCAGUCCUGGCCAACAUCCGUUCACCUGUCUUCAACCAUUCCCUGUAUCGCACAUUCGUGCCAGCCAUGAUGGCCAUCCAUGGUCCGCCUAUCGUGUCCCCAGUGGUGUGCUCCCGGAAGCGCAGGUUUGAGGAGGAUGAGCGGCAGAGCAUACCCAAUGUGCUGCAAGGUGAGGUGGCAAGGCUGGAUCCCAAGUUCCUGGUGAACUUGGACCCUUCUCACUGCAGCAACAACGGUACUGUCCACCUGAUCUGCAAGCUGGGUGAGUGG